UCCACUGUCUGGCCUCAUGGAAAAAAUNGC
rnacentral:piRNA from 1 species